rnacentral:rRNA from 1 species
UUUUUCAUAUAUAUUUUCUGCGCGCGGGGAACAUGGCACAUGUCGGUAUUAAAUAUUACACACGGUUUCGAAUUUUUUGACGUUUCCGGUAAGUUUUAGCUUGUGGCUCAUUAAUCACGUGUCUAAGGACGGAUAAGUAGUGUUGGCAAAGGUACCGCGUUCUGAAAGGGGUGUAAACCGUGGUGAAACUCGUGUUGGUGCGGUAGAAAGGGGGGGGGGUGGAAACGAUGGUAACUAGUCUCGGUCGUUUAGCGACAGAGUAAGUAGUGAAGUGGAGUAUCCGUUAUUAGGCAGUGCUGACAAAGAAGGUAGGGUCGGGCUUAUAGUGGAGCUGGGAGGGGCGAGCAUAAGGGACGAAGUUGGGGAAACAUGUCGAAUGCGAUCAUACCAGCACUAAAGCACCGGAUCCCAUCAGAACUCCGAAGUUAAGUUUGCUUGGGCGAGAGUAGUACUAGGAUGGGUGACCUCCAUUGCCACCAUUGCCACCAUUGCCAUCUACUACAUAUUGUCAAAUACCACUAACUCUACUACUUCUGCACCAUUGCCACCAUUGCCACCUACUACAUAUUGUCAAAUACCAGUAACUCUACAUAUGUCCC